rnacentral:rRNA from 1 species
UACAUGGGGUGCAAACGUUGCUCGGAAUUAUUGGGCGUAAAGCGCGCGUAGGCGGUUACUCAAGUCGGAUGUGAAAGCCCUCGGCUUAACUGAGGAAGUGCACCCGAAACUGAGUAGCUAGAGUACUAAAGAGGGUCGCGGAAUUCCCGGUGUAGAGGUGAAAUUCGUAGAUAUCGGGAGGAAGGCCGGUGGCGAAGGCGGCGCUCUGGAACAUUUCUGACGCUGAGGCUCGAAAGCGUGGGGAGCAAACAGG